AUACGGAGGGUCCAAGCGUUAUCCGGAUUCAUUGGGUUUAAAGGGUCCGCAGGCGGGAAAAUAAGUCAGUGGUGAAAGCCUACAGCUCAACUGUAGAACUGCCAUUGAUACUGUUCUUCUUGAGUAUAGAUGAAGUGGGCGGAAUAUAUCAUGUAGCGGUGAAAUGCAUAGAUAUGAUAUAGAACACCGAUUGCGAAGGCAGCUCACUAAACUAUUACUGACGCUCAGGGACGAAAGCGUGGGGAGCGAACAGGAUUAGAAACCCUAGUAGUCC
rnacentral:rRNA from 1 species